rnacentral:rRNA from 1 species
CAGCCGCCACGGGAAUACAGAGGGUGCAAGCGUUAAUCGGAAUUACUGGGCGUAAAGCGCGCGUAGGUGGUUCGCCAAGUUGGAUGUGAAAUCCCCGGGCUCAACCUGGGAACUGCAUCCAAAACUGGCGAGCUAGAGUAUGGUAGAGGGUGGUGGAAUUUCCUGUGUAGCGGUGAAAUGCGUAGAUAUAGGAAGGAACAUCAGUGGCGAAGGCGACCACCUGGACUGAUACUGACACUGAGGUGCGAAAGCGUGGGGAGCAAACAGGAUUAGAUACCCCAGUAGUCCCUGUCUCUUAUAA